GUGUUCCCAUGUCGUCUUCUGUUG
rnacentral:snRNA from 1 species